CAGUAGCCACGGGAAUACGUAGGUGGCAAGCGUUGUCCGGAAUUAUUGGGCGUAAAGGGCUCGCAGGCGGUUUCUUAAGUCUGAUGUGAAAGCCCCCGGCUCAACCGGGGAGGGUCAUUGGAAACUGGGAAACUUGAGUGCAGAAGAGGAGAGUGGAAUUCCACGUGUAGCGGUGAAAUGCGUAGAGAUGUGGAGGAACACCAGUGGCGAAAGCGACUCUCUGGUCUGUAACUGACGCUGAGGAGCGAAAGCGUGGGGAGCGAACAGGAUUAGAUACCCCAGUAGUCCCUGUCUCUUAUAA
rnacentral:rRNA from 1 species